rnacentral:rRNA from 1 species
CCUACGGGUGGCUGCAGUGGGGAAUAUUGGACAAUGGGCGAAAGCCUGAUCCAGCCAUGCCGCGUGUGUGAAGAAGGCCUUCGGGUUGUAAAGCACUUUCAGUGGGGAAGAAAGCCCUGGGGCUAAUACCCUCGAGGAAGGACAUCACCCACAGAAGAAGCACCGGCUAACUCCGUGCCAGCAGCCGCGGUAAUACGGAGGGUGCGAGCGUUAAUCGGAAUUACUGGGCGUAAAGCGCGCGUAGGCGGUCUGAUAAGCCGGUUGUGAAAGCCCCGGGCUCAACCUGGGAACGGCAUCCGGAACUGUCAGGCUAGAGUGCAGGAGAGGAAGGUAGAAUUCCCGGUGUAGCGGUGAAAUGCGUAGAGAUCGGGAGGAAUACCAGUGGCGAAGGCGGCCUUCUGGACUGACACUGACGCUGAGGUGCGAAAGCGUGGGUAGCAAACAGGAUUAGAUACCCGUGUAGUC